GGACUUUUUUGUGAAGGAAAAUUUGCAACAAUAGAAUUUCUGCCUGUUAACUGAAACAUUUCAAGGCCUUCAUGCAGAAAUUGUCUUUAAACCCUUCCUGCCAUCUGCACCAUAUCACACAAAUGGAAAAUUGGUGUGCACAUCAUACACGGAAAUGAAGCGGUCCUUCAUUGACAUUUAACCUGUUGGCACUAAUAUAUAGUGCUGUACAUGAAUCACGAGACAAGCCAGAAUCCACAUGUCCUGGUGCUUGGUGACAAGGACAACUGGAACAGAAGAC